rnacentral:rRNA from 1 species
UACGGGGGGGGCAAGCGUUGUUCGGAAUUACUGGGCGUAAAGGGCUCGUAGGCGGCCAACUAAGUCAGGUGUGAAAUCCCCCGGCUCAACCGGGGAACUGCACCUGAUACUGUUGGGCUUGAGUGCAGGAGGGGAGAGCGGAAUUCCUGGUGGAGCGGUGAAAUGCGUAGAUAUCAGGAGGAACGCCGGCGGCGAAAGCGGCUCUCUGGCCUGUUACUGACGCUGAGGCGCGAAAGCUAGGGGAGCAAACGGG